UACGUAGGGGGCGAGCGUUACUCGGAAUUACUGGGCGUAAAGCGUGCGUAGGUGGUCUGUUAAGUCUGAUGUGAAAGCCCUGGGCUCAACCUGGGAAUUGCAUUGGAUACUGGCAGGCUAGAGUGCGGUAGAGGGUAGUGGAAUUCCCGGUGUAGCAGUGAAAUGCGUAGAGAUCGGGAGGAACACCAGUGGCGAAGGCGACUACCUGGACCAGCACUGACACUGAGGCACGAAAGCGUGGGGAGCAAACAGG
rnacentral:rRNA from 1 species